GAAUCAGAUGACAGUGAAUUUGAUCUUGAUGAUGAGUUUCCACCUUCCACUGAUGGAGAUGAGUUGUCAAAAACUGAAAAGACAAAGAGAGGAGGAAAGAGGUCAAGAGCUGGUAUUCAGUUGUCCCCCUCCAAGUGCAAGGCGAAUAGAGUAAAGAGGGCUGGUUGCUGGAAGUAUUUUAAGGUGGUCACUGUUGCUUCUAGAAAGGAACUUUGGGUUAUGGAGACAAAAGCCAAGUGCAAGUUCUGUCAUAGAUCUUAUUUGUACCAUCAAGGGGGAAGCACUACAACACUAAACCGACACCUAGACAAGUGCACACAGUAUUUGAACAAGCUGGCACAAGCUAAGAAAAAUCUUGCUCAAGGGAGAAGGUGAUGAUGGUGGCAUCGAGUCCGUGGAAUUUCCAAAGUGUGUGGUGGCAAGUAAUUAGGCACAUGGUCACAUACUCACAUGGAGGAGAUGGAGGAGAGGGAGAGAUAGGACCCGGGAGAGGAGACAUGAGAGGCACAUGGUCAUUAUAUUUUGUUGGUUGUAACUAUAAGCAUGUAAUUGUUGGUUGCAACUGUUGCUAACCUGGCAUAUUUUGUUGGCUCCCUACAACUUUGUCCUGAACUCCUGAACCUGAAGUCCUGAUCUAUAAUUGUUGGCUGCAUCA